UACGUAGGGUGCGAGCGUUAAUCGGAAUUACUGGGCGUAAAGCGUGCGCAGGCGGUCCGCCAAGUCUGAUGUGAAAGCCCCGGGCUCAACCUGGGAACUGCAUCCGAGACUGCAUUGCUAGAGUCCCGGAGAGGAAGGCAGAAUUCCCGGUGUAGGGGUGAAAUCCGUAGAUAUCGGGAGGAAUACCAGCGGCGAAGGCGGCCUUCUGGACGGUGACUGACGCUGAGACGCGAAAGCGUGGGGAGCAAACAGG
rnacentral:rRNA from 1 species